rnacentral:rRNA from 1 species
AUUGAACGCUGGCGGCAGGCCUAACACAUGCAAGUCGAACGAGGGGCGGACGGGUGAGUAAUGUAUGGGAAACUGCCUGAUGGCGGGGGAUAACUACUGGAAACGGUAGCUAAUACCGCAUACCAUCAGAUGAACCCAGAUGGGAUUAGCUUGUUGGUGAGGUAACGGCGCACCAAGGCGACGAUCCCUAGCUGGUCUGAGAGGAUGAUCAGCCACACUGGGACGGAGACACGGUCCAGACUCCUACGGGAGGCAGCAGUGGGGAAUAUUGCACAAUGGGCGCAAGCCUGAUGCAGCCAUGCCGCGGGUAUGAAGAAGGCCUUCGGGUUGUAAAGUACUUUCAGGGGGGAGGCGUUACCCACAGAAGAAGCACCGGCUAACUCCGUGCCAGCAGCCGCGGUAAUAC